ACGAGAGUGGUGAAACUGGUAGACACGCACGACUAUAGAUCGUGUGCCGAAAGGCGUGGCGGUUCGAGUCCGCCCUCUCGUA
rnacentral:tRNA from 1 species